UCCUCAAACCUAUCUCCUCCUCCCUCCUCCUCCUCCUCCUCCUCUUCCUCCGCCGCCGCCGUCAACCACCAUGUCGGUCAAGGGUGGUGGCUGUGGGAAGCAUGAAAGCAAGUGGCGGCGGCGCGGCAAGCGCAUCUUCGUUGGCCUCCUCAUCUUCAACUUCAUCCUCCUCCUAACCUUCCUCCUCGCUUGGGCCAUCAUCCAGCCCCACAAGCCCCGCUUCGUCCUCCAGGACGUCACCGUCUACACCUUCAACGCCUCCGUCCCCAGCCUCCUCACCAUCAACUUCCAGGUCACCAUCUACUCCCGCAACCCCAACGACAAGCUCGGCAU
rnacentral:lncRNA from 1 species